GAAAUGCGAUAAGUAAUGUGAAUUGCAGAAUUCAGUGAAUCAUCGAAUCUUUGAACGCACCUUGCGCUCCUUGGUAUUCCGAGGAGCAUGACUGUUUGAGUGUCAUGGAAUUCUCAACUCUAUUUGCUUUUGUGAAUAGAGCUUGGAUUUGGAGGUUUAUUGCUGGUACUUGUGAUCGGCUCCUCUUGAAUGCAUUAGCUCGAACCUUUGCGGAUCAGCUAUCGGUGUGAUAAUUGUCUACGCCGUUGCAGUGAAGCAUAUCAAUGGGCUCGGCUUCCAAUCGUCCUUUACUGGACAAUGACUUUGACCUUUGACCUCAAAUCAGGUAGGAUUACCCGCUGAACUUAAGC
rnacentral:misc_RNA from 1 species